rnacentral:rRNA from 1 species
GUUGCCAUCAGGUUAAGCUGGGGACGUCUAAAGGAACUGCCUACGCAAGUAGUGAGGAAGCGGGGAUGACGUCAAAUCAGCAGGCCCUUACGUCCAGGGCUACACACGUGCUACAAUGGCCGAUACAGAGGGCAGCUACCUGGUGACAGGAUGCAAAUCUCCAAAGUCGGUCUCAGUUCGGAUCGGAGUCUGCAACCCGACUCCGUGAAGUUGGAUUCGCUAGUAAUCGCGCAUCAGCCAUGGCGCGGUGAAUACGUUCCCGGGCCUU